rnacentral:rRNA from 1 species
GUCUCAGUUCGGAUUGGAGUCUGCAACCCGACUCCAUGAAGCUGGAUUCGCUAGUAAUCGCGCAUCAGCCACGGCGCGGUGAAUACGUUCCCGGGCCUUGUACACACCGCCCGUCAAGCCAUGGAAGCCGGGAGUGCCUGAAGUGCGUGAGCGCAAGCAGCGCCCUAAGGUAAAACCGGUGACUGGGGCUAAGUCGUAACAAGGUAUC